rnacentral:rRNA from 1 species
ACGGCUCAGUAACACGUAGUCAGCAUACCCAGAGGACGUGGAUAACCUCGGGAAACUGAGGAUAAACCGCGAUAGACCAUAAUGUCUGGAAUGAUUUAUGGUUCAAAUCUAUAUGGCCUCUGGAUUGGACUGCGGCCGAUCAGGCUGUUGGUGAGGUAAUGGCCCACCAAACCUGAAACCGGUACGGGCUCUGAGAGGAGAAGCCCGGAGAUGGGCACUGAGACAAGGGCCCAGGCCCUAUGGGGCGCAGCAGGCGCGAAACCUUUGCAAUAGGCGAAAGCCUGACAAGGUUACUCUGAGUGAUCUCCGCUAAGGAAAUCUUUUGACACCUCUAAAAAUGGUGUAGAAUAAGGGGUGGGCAAGCCUGGUGUCAGCCGCCGCGGUAAUACCAGCACCCCGAGUGGUCGGGACGAUUAUUGGGCCUAAAGCAUCCGUAGCCGGUUCUUUAAGUCCUCCGUUAAAUCCACCUGCUUAACAGAUGGGCUGCGGAGGAUACUAUAGAGCUAGGAGGCGGGAGAGGCAAGCGGUACUCAGUGGGUAGGGGUAAAAUCCGUUGAUCCAUUGAAGACCACCAGUGGCGAAGGCGGCUUGCCAGAACGCGCUCGACGGUGAGGGAUGAAAGCUGGGGGAGCAAACCGGAUUAGAUACCCGGGUAGUCCCAGCUGUAAACGAUGCAGACUCGGUGAUGAACAGGCUUCGUGCCUGUUCAGUGCCGCAGGGAAGCCGUUAAGUCUGCCGCCUGGGGAGUACGGUCGCAAGACUGAAACUUAAAGGAAUUGGCGGGGGAG